CCUACGGGUGGCUGCAGUGGGGAAUAUUGCACAAUGGGCGCAAGCCUGAUGCAGCCAUGCCGCGUGUGUGAAGAAGGCCAUCGGGUUGUAAAGCACUUUCAGCGGGGAGGAAGGCGGUGAGGUUAAUAACCUCAUCGAUUGACGUUACCCGCAGAAGAAGCACCGGCUAACUCCGUGCCAGCAGCCGCGGUAAUACGGAGGGUGCAAGCGUUAAUCGGAAUUACUGGGCGUAAAGCGCACGCAGGCGGUCUGUCAAGUCGGAUGUGAAAUCCCCGGGCUCAACCUGGGAACUGCAUUCGAAACUGGCAGGCUAGAGUCUUGUAGAGGGGGGUAGAAGUCCAGGUGUAGCGGUGAAAUGCGUAGAGAGCUGGAGGAAUACCGGUGGCGAAGGCGGCCCCCUGGACAAAGACUGACGCUCAGGUGCGAAAGCGUGGGGAGCAAACAGGAUUAGAUACCCUUGUAGUC
rnacentral:rRNA from 1 species